CUUGAGAAUGAAUCUAAAAUGGAUGCUGUCCAGUAGGUGGGAGGGUCUGCUAGGGAGGGUGUGCUGCUAAUUGGCUGGAAUGUGUCUGCUGACUGUGAGGUACAGGGUCAAAGUUUACUCAAUGAUGACGAAUAGGGGGCGGAUCGAACCGCGCAUGUGUUCGCCGUCCGCGGCGGACGCGAACACACUAUGUUCGCCAGGAACUGUUCGCCGGCGAACCGUUCGGUGCACCACUA